rnacentral:rRNA from 1 species
UAAUGCUUGGGAAUCUAGCUUAUGGAGGGGGAUAACUACGGGAAACUGUAGCUAAUACCGCGUAGAAUCGGGAGAUGAAAGUGUGGGACCUUCGGGCCACAUGCCAUAGGAUGAGCCCAAGUGGGAUUAGGUAGUUGGUGAGGUAAAGGCUCACCAAGCCGACGAUCUCUAGCUGGUCUGAGAGGAUGACCAGCCACACUGGGACUGAGACACGGCCCAG